AACCUCCGCAAUGUGAGAAAUCGCGACGGGGGGAUCCCAAGUGCCAUUCCUAACGGGAUGGCUUUUCAUUAGUGUAAAGAGCUUUUGGAAUAAGGGCUGGGCAAGACCGGUGCCAGCCGCCGCGGUAACACCGGCAGCUCUAGUGGUAGCAGUUUUUAUUGGGCCUAAAGCGUCCGUAGCCGGUUUAAUAAGUCUCUGGUGAAAUCCUGUAGCUUAACUGUGGGAAUUGCUGGAGAUACUAUUAGACUUGAGACCGGGAGAGGUUAGAGGUACUCCCAGGGUAGAGGUGAAAUUCUGUAAUCCUGGGAGGACCGCCUGUUGCGAAGGCGUCUAACUGGAACGGUUCUGACGGUGAGGGACGAAAGUUAGGGGCGCGAACCGGAUUAGAUACCCGGGUAGUCCUAACUGUAAACGAUGCGGACUUGGUGUUGGGGUGGCUUUGAGCUGCUCCAGUGCCGAAGGGAAGCUGUUAAGUCCGCCGCCUGGGAAGUACGGUCGCAAGACUGAAACUUAAAGGAAGU
rnacentral:rRNA from 1 species